rnacentral:rRNA from 1 species
UACGUAGGGUGCGAGCGUUAAUCGGAAUUACUGGGCGUAAAGCGUGCGUAGGCGGUUCGUUAAGUUCGUUGUGAAAGCCCCGGGCUCAACCUGGGAAUGGCAAUGGAAACUGGCGGGCUGGAGUAUGGCAGAGGGGGGUGGAAUUCCGCGUGUAGCAGUGAAAUGCGCAGAUAUCAGGAGGAACACCGGUGGCGAAGGCGGUUCUCUGGGCAUGAUCUGACGCUGAGGAGCGAAAGCUAGGGGAGCGAACAGG